rnacentral:rRNA from 1 species
AUUGAACGCUGGCGGCAGGCCUAACACAUGCAAGUCGAGCGAGCGGCGGACGGGUGAGUAAUGUCUGGGAAACUGCCUGAUGGAGGGGGAUCACUACUGGAAACGGUAGCUAAUACCGCAUACCAUCAGCUUUGCCCAGAUGGGAUUAGCUAGUAGGUGGGGUAACGGCUCACCUAGCCCACGAUCCCUCUCUGGUCUGAGAGGAUGACCAGCCACACUGGAACUGAGACACGGUCCAGACUCCUACGGGAGGCAGCAGUGGGGAAUAUUGCACAAUGGGCGCAAGCCUGAUGCAGCCAUGCCGCGUGUGUGAAGAAGGCCUUCGGGUUGUAAAGCACUUUCAGCGGGGAGGCGUUACCCGCAGAAGAAGCACCGGCUAACUCCGUGCCAGCAGCCGCGGUAAUUC